GAUGAACGCUGGCGGCGUGCCUAAUACAUGCAAGUCGAGCGAACAGACGAGGAGCUUGCUCCUCUGACGUUAGCGGCGGACGGGUGAGUAACACGUGGAUAACCUACCUAUAAGACUGGGAUAACUUCGGGAAACCGGAGCUAAUACCGGAUAAUAUAUUGAACCGCAUGGUUCAAUAGUGAAAGACGGUUUUGCUGUCACUUAUAGAUGGAUCCGCGCCGCAUUAGCUAGUUGGUAAGGUAACGGCUUACCAAGGCAACGAUGCGUAGCCGACCUGAGAGGGUGAUCGGCCACACUGGAACUGAGACUGGGUCCAGACUCCUACGGGAGGCAGCAGUAGGGAAUCUUCCGCAAUGGGCGAAAGCCUGACGGAGCAACGCCGCGUGAGUGAUGAAGGUCUUCGGAUCGUAAAACUCUGUUAUUAGGGAAGAACAAAUGUGUAAGUAACUAUGCACGUCUUGACGGUACCUAAUCAGAAAGCCACGGCUAACUACGUG
rnacentral:rRNA from 1 species